UUCUAUAAGAGAUCCGAUCCCUUGUACGUUGCACUCCCAAGACAAGAUGGAACCCCCAGCGAACUCCCCUCGCCAUUGUAACUUGUGUUUUAGAGCCAUAGCACAAUCGGGCAGUGGGGAUAUUGAGGAUAUUUCUCAGAGAGAGCCUUAGCACUUGCUUACUGAGCAGCUGCUGGAGUCCACAGCAAAAGGAAGGCCUUGCAAAUAUUCAAGAAAACCGCCUGUGAGUGGUGACAAGUUGUGUGAUGUGAUUGCCAAACAUGCACUCUUCAAAACAAAGGCUUUGAAGCAUCACGUGUUUGACGGGAACAAUAAACCGAUAGCAUCAAUGAUGACAGAAGCCCCCUGUAGAAAGGUCCCCCCAACUUCGAAAGGCACUCUUGUAGAUGGCCGGAGGCAGCCAAAAGAUGCUCCCGUUGUUCUUCACAACCACAUUCGUAUACACAGAGACUUCGUAGGUGCCGUCGGCACUAAAGAAAUGGUGAAGAGAAGGG